AGCGCUGCCCGGGCGGCCGCGUUCGGCAUCCGCCGACCGAGGAAAGUCCGGACUCCGCAGGGCACGGUGGUGGCUAACGGCCACCGGGGGCAACCCCAGGGAAAGUGCCACAGAGAACAGACCGCCCAAGUCCCGUUCGCGGGACCGGCAAGGGUGAAACGGCGAGGUAAGAGCUCACCGCGCGCCUGGUGACAGGCGUGGCAGGGCAAACCCCACCGGGAGAAAGCCCGAAUAGGGAGGGAUGGCGUGGCCCGCGCCGCUCAACCUCCGGGUAGGGCGUUGGACGCCGCCGGCAACGGCGGCGCGAGAGAAAUGGUCGCCGCCCCCUCGGGGGAACAGAAUCCGGCUUACAGGGCAGCGCUCCUC
rnacentral:RNase_P_RNA from 1 species